AUUGAACGCUGGCGGCAGGCCUAACACAUGCAAGUCGAGCGAGCGGCGGACGGGUGAGUAAUGUAUGGGGAUCUGCCCGAUAGCUGGGGAUAACUACUGGAAACGGUAGCUAAUACCGCAUUCCAUCGGAUUUGCCCUGAUGGGAUUAGCUAGUAGGUGGGGUAAAGGCUCACCUAGGCGACGAUCCCUAGCUGGUCUGAGAGGAUGACCAGCCACACUGGAACUGAGACACGGUCCAGACUCCUACGGGAGGCAGCAGUGGGGAAUAUUGCACAAUGGGCGCAAGCCUGAUGCAGCCAUGCCGCGUGUAUGAAGAAGGCCCUAGGGUUGUAAAGUACUGUCAGUCGGGAGGCGUUACCGACAGAAGAAGCACCGGCUAACUCCGUGCCAGCAGCCGCGGUAAUUC
rnacentral:rRNA from 1 species